GGCAGCCGUGAAAGUUUUCAAGUGGCAUCACAGAGGAUAGCUGAAAAAUUCUGAAUUGUAGGUGCCAGCUUGUUGAGGUGGAAAAUGCAAAGAGACACUUUUAAUUUGGAGGUGAGAAGGCAUCUCUCACAGUUGGAUUUGGAGACCGAGAGAGAAUUAAGGAAGGCUUCUAGAGCUUGAGGGAGCCAAUUGUGAUUGUGAUCCAUCUAGUUUAUUUUCCUUUUUAAUUUCUAAGCAUUUUGUUUGUAGUUGGCCUUUAAAUCUGAACUGGUUGUUUAGUAUGAAGUUGAUGAAUCUUCAUAAUAAUGGGAACUGAGAGGUUUGGUUAUUGCUUCUUCAUUUUUGGGUCAUGCUCUUUGAUUAUGUAGAAAUAGAAAACCGUGUUUGAUCUAGGGAUUUUGUUGUGCUUUUGUACAUUAGUCUCAUGAUUUCAUUUAAGGAAUUAAGUUAUAUGAGAUUAAAAGGAUUCAUUGCCAAGGAAUUGAAUGUCAAUUACCGCAGCAAAAACUGAUCUUAAACUUGGGCAAAGUUGUUUGGACUAGGUGGAAAUUGGGUUGUUACUUCAACAAUCCGUAAAAUCAAAACUUAACUGUGACAGGUGUGAGCACUAUGUCCCUUCUUUGAGCAGAGUUGGCAAAUAGUGUUGGAGUAGGAAGAGAUAAGAUGCUUGCCAAAUAGUGCAUGACGAUCCACACGUCCUUUAGAGAAGAUGUGUGUGGUAGAACUUGUGCUUUUCUGGGAAUCAUGAUAUCCCUGUGACAUUUGGGAUAUAGUGAGACAUUUGGGCAUGCUUUGAGUUCAACAUCUCUGAUGAAGGACUUCUUUCUUUGUUAAAGGUAUCAUUGAGGAUGAAUGGUCACAAAUCCAAAAAUAAAUGUCGCAUUCCACAAUCUAAAGGAAGUAAGUGAGCUGUUGUUUCUUCCUCGAACCUCCUUCACCAUACAAAUCAUUCCAGUGCUUCAACUCAUUCAUUACAGAUCCUUCUGAUGCAAAACUUGCAGCCUCUUGCAUUUAAUCAGAUAUCCGUAGUGCGAUGACUGGAGUAUUUUCUACGUCUUUCUUUGUUUUGUUCCAAUGGAGUCGUGUAAGGACCAUAUUACUUAUAAAAAAAUUUCAUACUUAAUUGUUUUUUAUGUAAUGUGA